rnacentral:rRNA from 1 species
GGGUAGUAAAUUUCUCUUAUUUAGUGUGUAUCACUCGAGUUUCUGGCCUGUCCGCUUUUGAUGUUAGGGUAUUGCCUAACAUAGCUAUGACGGGUAACGGGGAAUUAGAGUUCGAUUCCGGAGAGGGAGCCUGGGAAAUAGCUGCCACAUCUAAGGAAGGCAGCAGGCGCGUAAAUUACACAAUUCUAAAGAAGAGAGGUAGUGACAAGAAAUAACAAUGCAAGGCCAAUUUUUGGUUUUGUAAUUGGAAUGGUGGGAAUUUAAAACCUUCUCAGAGUAACAAUUGGAGGGCAAGUCUGGUGCCAGCAAAAACGGUAAUUCCAGCUCCAAUAGCGUAUAUUAAAAUUGUUGCAGUUAAAACGCUCGUAGUUGAAUUUCAAAGAAUCGAUAUUUUAUUGUAACUAUUAUAGGGGAACUAUUUUAGCUUUUCGCUUUAAUACGCUUCCUCUAUUAUUAUGUUCUUUAAAUAACAAAGAUUCUUUUUAAAAUCCCCACUUUUGCUUUUUCUUUUUGGGGAUUUUGUUUCUUUGAGUCAAUUAGAGUGUUCAAAGCAAACAGUUAAAGCAUUUACUGUGUUUGAAUACUAUAGCAUUGAAUAACAAAAUCGGCCAAGCUAAAAUUUUUUGUUAUGUUUUCUUCUUGGGGUAAGUUAGGAUUAAUAUUAAUGGAUUGUGCCCGACACCCUGCGCUGAUCUACUUGGCAUUUUUGACUUUCAUCUAUCUGUCUUUUUUCUUCCUUAAACGUUCUUUUCUAACGG